rnacentral:rRNA from 1 species
GAUGAACGCUGGCGGCGUGCCUAAUACAUGCAAGUCGAGCGAAUGGAUUAAGAGCUUGCUCUUAUGAAGUUAGCGGCGGACGGGUGAGUAACACGUGGGUAACCUGCCCAUAAGACUGGGAUAACUCCGGGAAACCGGGGCUAAUACCGGAUAAUAUUUUGAACUGCAUGGUUCAAAAUUGAAAGGCGGCUUCGGCUGUCACUUAUGGAUGGACCCGCGUCGCAUUAGCUAGCUGGUGAGGUAACGGCUCACCAAGGCAACGAUGCGUAGCCGACCUGAGAGGGUGAUCGGCCACACUGAGACUGAGACACGGCCCAGACUCCUACGGGAGGCAGCAGUAGGGAAUCUUCCGCAAUGGACGAAAGUCUGACGGAGCAACGCCGCGUGAGUGAUGAAGGCUUUCGGGUCGUAAAACUCUGUUGUUAGGGAAGAACAAGUGCUAGUUGAAUAAGCUGGCACCUUGACGGUACCUAACCAGAAAGCCACGGCUAACUACGUGCCAGCCGCCGCCGUAA